AGAUUGAACGCUGGCGGAAUGCUUUACACAUGCAAGUCGAACGGCAGCACGGGGGUAACCCUGGUGGCGAGUGGCGAACGGGUGAGUAAUACAUCGGAACGUGCCCAGUCGUGGGGGAUAACGUAGCGAAAGCUACGCUAAUACCGCAUACGAACUCUGGUUGAAAGCGGGGGACUCGCAAGAGCCUCGCGCGAUUGGAGCGGCCGAUGGCAGAUUAGGUAGUUGGUGGGGUAAAGGCUCACCAAGCCUGCGAUCUGUAGCUGGUCUGAGAGGACGACCAGCCACACUGGGACUGAGACACGGCCCAGACUCCUA
rnacentral:rRNA from 1 species